CAUCUUAUUAAUAUUAAAGCUUCGGCACUUGAUGAUGGGUGUGCGGCUGAUUAGAUAGUUGGCGGGGUAACGGCCCACCAAGUCUACGAUCAGUAGCUGAUGUGAGAGCAUGAUCAGCCACACGGGCACUGAGACACGGGCCCGACUCCUACGGGAGGCAGCAGUAAGGAAUAUUGGACAAUGGACGAAAGUCUGAUCCAGCCAUGCCGCGUGAGGGAUUAAGGUCCUCUGGAUUGUAAACUUCUUUUAUAUGGGACGAAAAAGGGCAUUCUUGUUCACUUGACGGUACCAUAUGAAUAAGCACCGGCUAACUCCGUG
rnacentral:rRNA from 1 species